GAAAAACUACCACAACAAGAGGACAUAGUCUUAAAUUAGAGGGACAAAGGUUUAAAAAUAAUAUCAGGAAGUAUUACUUUACUGAGAGGGUAGUGGAUGCAUGGAAUAGCUUUUCAGCUGAAGUGGUAGAGGUUAACACAGUAAAGGAGUUUAAGCAUGCGUGGGAUAGGCAUAAGGCUAUCCUAACUAUAAGAUAAGGCUAGG